CACGGAGUUAGCCGAUGCUUUUUCUUCGGAUACACGCAGUCCGGGACACGUCCCGGGUUUUGUUCUCCGACAAAAGAGGUUUACAACCCGUAGGGCCGUCUUCCCUCACGCGGCUUGGCUGGUUCAGGAUCUCUCCCAUUGACCAAUAUUCCUCACUGCUGCCUCCCGUAGGAGUCUGGUCCGUGUCUCAGUACCAGUGUGGGGGACCUUCCUCUCAGAACCCCUACGCAUCGUCGCCACGGUGGGCCGUUACCCCGCCGUCAAGCUAAUGCGCCGCAUGCCCAUCCUCUUCCGAUGAAUCUUUCCUCGAUCUCGGAUGCCCGAAACCGAUAUACGCGGGAUUAGCCUCCCUUUCGGAAGGUUGUCCCCCUGAAGAGGGCAGGUUGCAUACGUGUUACUCACCCGUGCGCCGGUCGCCGGCAAGGAAAGCAAGCUUCCCUCCCGAUGCCCCUCGACUUGCAUGUGUUAAGCCUGCCGCUAGCGUUCAUCCUGAGCCAGGAUCAAACUCU
rnacentral:rRNA from 1 species